CAUAAAUUUUCAACUUUUAUUAAUUUUUCUAGUGCCUAUUAUUAAGCAGAGAUGGUGAAUAUUUAAUGACUGGUGGUGAUAAAGGAAUCGUAGAAGUAUGGAGAACCUUCAAUUUGGCAUUGCUCUACGCCUUUCCAGGGUGUGAUAGUAGCGUUAGGUCCCUCGCUUUGUCGCAUGAUCAAAAAUUCCUGUUAGCGGGACUAGCUUUAGGUUCAAUAGUGGUAUUCCACAUUGACUUCAAUAGGUGGCAUCACGAGUUCCAACAGCGUUACUAACGAUCGAGAACGGCACCGUGCUAUCUAACUUACAACGUAUCGGUUUUAGAUUAAACAAAAUUAAUAAUUAAAUUAAUGAUUAUGAAAGAAAAAAAUCGUAAAAGAAAUCGUUUGUUAUGUAGAUGUAACAAAAACCACCCAAAAAAAAAACACUUUCUUGUCCUAUUCUUUAAAGAUAUUUUUGUUAACUCUUUUAUUUUCUAAUCCUUUUAAUUUGUGCAAUCCUUUUUAACGUAUGCAUAUUGUAUAGAUACCAUAUAGAGAAGAAUGUAGUGAUUUUUUAAUUUUCUUGUUGAACGUUUUUUGUAGAUUUUAGAGUCUAAUUAGUAUUAUAAUUGCUUUUACUAUUGCAAAAAAAAUUGUGGGAAAGAUAAAAAAUUUUUAAACAUC